UACGUAGGGUGCAGGCGUUAAUCGGAAUUACUGGGCGUAAAGCGUGCGCAGGCGGUCUUUUUAAGUCAGAUGUGAAAUCCCCGGGCUUAACCUGGGAACUGCGUUUGAAACUGGAAGGCUUGAGUGUGGCAGAGGGGGGUGGAAUUCCACGUGUAGCAGUGAAAUGCGUAGAGAUGUGGAGGAACACCGAUGGCGAAGGCAGCCCCCUGGGCUAACACUGACGCCUCAUGCACGAAAGCGUGGGGAGCAAACAGG
rnacentral:rRNA from 1 species